GACGAACGCUGGCGGCGUGCUUAACACAUGCAGGUCGAACGGAAAGGCCCUGCUUUUGUGGGGUGCUCGAGUGGCGAACGGGUGAGUAACACGUGAGUAACCUGCCCUUGACUUUGGGAUAACUUCAGGAAACUGGGGCUAAUACCGGAUAGGAGCUCCUGCUGCAUGGUGGGGGUUGGAAAGUUUCGGCGGUUGGGGAUGGACUCGCGGCUUAUCAGCUUGUUGGUGGGGUAGUGGCUUACCAGGGCUUUGACGGGUAGCCGGCCUGAGAGGGUGACCGGCCACAUUGGGACUGAGAUACGGCCCAGACUCCUACGGGAGGCAGCAGUGGGGAAUAUUGCACAAUGGGCGGAAGCCUGAUGCAGCAACGCCGCGUGCGGGAUGACGGCCUUCGGGUUGUAAACCGCUUUCGCCUGUGACGAAGCGUGAGUGACGGUAAUGGGUAAAGAAGCACCGGCUAACUACGUG
rnacentral:rRNA from 1 species